CCGGGAUUUAUAAAAACAUAUACUAGGGCCAAGCAAAAUUCUAAUCCAUUAAAUAAUACAUGCCAACAGCUAUUUUAUUACAAAAACUAUACCAGCUACUAUGCCGGCUUCCCGAGCUAUCUUCGACCUUGCAAACCUGGGGUUAGGGGGAAGGGAUAAGCUACAAGAGCCUAGUGAGCAGAACAUAAAAAUAGUUUAAUAAACAUAUGCUCAUAUGAAAUGCGUCACAGCACAAACAAAUCACAUCAAGAUGGACUUGUCACCAGUAACCCUCUACGUAAUCCAAUGUGCCCGGCCCACUAUGGGUGCUCCUAAGGACUUUCGCUUAAACCUAACAUAACAUAUCCAAAAUGCCAGGGGCAUAGAAUGGGCCUCACCUGAACUUCCAUACCGUAUCAUAUCAUAACUUGCUUGAGGGCUAGUGGGUCAUCCAAUAUCCAUCCUCAACAACAGUAAAUUAUGCAAUGCAUCAUAUUUCGUGAAUUCUAAUGCAAACAACCUAUUACAUAACAUGGCAUUCAUGAUGCAUGAACAUGCUCAAUGUAAUGACCCGAAAACCGGACCGCUACCGGCGCUAGGAUCCAGAUCGACUUAAGGUCGCCGGGACCUGUUGUAAGCCUACUAUACAUCCUGUCAUACCUGAUAAAUCUCAUACAUGAUCAUAUAUUUUCAUAAAAACUUUAAACUUUCACAAAUACUAAGUUUGACUUGUGCAUGCACUAUACUGUAAACAUAAAACCCCUUACUGGAGGCCUCAUCAAAUGCUCCAAUUGGGUCAACAUCUCAUACAUCAAGCUUGGUUCAACAUACCAUAACAUUAAAACAUUUACAUCAGGAUCAUGUACAACAGGGAUUAACCAUAAAUAUUAGGGCCAAGCACAAUACUAAUCAUCAUUACACUACUUUACAUUACAUCAUUUUACAUGUCAUUUCAUCACGUCCACUACUACUCUAUUACAUAGACACCUCUUUUACUCUUGACGACUUUCCGGUCUAUCCUAAACCUGCAAACCUAGGGGUUAGGGAAAGGGGUGAGCUUCUAAAGCCCAAUGAGUAUAACAGUAAAAACAAUUUAUAAAGAUAUGCCAUUAUGAAAUGCGUCACAUCACAAGUAAAUCACCUUAAGAUGGUAUUGUCACCAAUAGCCCUCUACAUAUCCAAUAAAUGCCCGGCCCUCGACGAAGCUCCUCAGGACUUCCUCUUAACAUAAUAUAACAUGUCCAACUGUGCCAGGGGCAAUUAGGCCACACCUGGUCUUCUCUUACUCUGUGCCAGGGGCGAUUAAGCCACACCUGGUCUUCUCUUACUCUGUGCCAGGGGCGAUUAGGCCACACCUGGUCUUUCUAUAUCAUAUCAUAUCAUAUCAUGUCAUAUCAUAUCGGGGGCUAAUGGAUCAUCCAAUAUCCAUCCACAACAACAAUAAAUAAUGCAAUGCAUCAUACUCGUGAAUUCUAAUGCAAAACAACCUAAUACAUAUCAUGGCAUUCGUGAUGCAUGAGUCAUGCUAAAAAGAUUUCAUUCCUUUAAAUUAAACAAGUUGUGUUCUACUCACCUCUGGCUGACGCUUUACUGACUCUGUAGCAGCUAGCUCACGGCUGACCUCCUCAGUCUCUCGGUCCGAUCCUACACAGGUAGACUCAAAUGAGGGACCAAACAUACUCUAACAUAACUCUAAACAACUCCCCAAAAACUCCCUAAAACAUCACAAAACAUUCAUAGAAAACAUGCAAAGGAAGGCUGGACAGGGCAUUUUCGGUGGCAGGUUCGGCGGCCGAAAGUCCCUCCAGAGUCGAAACUCAGGCACCUUCGGCUACACCUUUGGCGGCCGAAAGUCCCUUCCAGAUCUGAAACUCAUGUACUUUCGGCGGCAGGUUCAGCGGCCGAAACUCCCCUCCAGAGCCGAAAGUCCAACUUUCGAGGGCGAGUUUAGGCGGCCAAAACAUGCCACCACAGGCAGGUUCGGUGGCCGAACCUGAUGACUCGCGGUUGUCGAAGCCGGUCAAAAAUAACCUUUCCGGUUAUCAACAAUUUUACAACUGCAGAUAGUGGUAAAGGAUCGAAUCCACAGAGAAUUGAUUACCAAUCUAUUUUUCUCAACAAGACCAAUAAAAUUAACUGAAACAAUAAUAAAUUAAAAUGAGAUAAAAAACUGAAAGUGGGAUCAAAUGAGAUAAACUGCAAAUUGGGAUCAAAACUGUCAAUAAAAUAACAGGGGGGUUUGAGAUUGAUUGUAAUAAACUAAUAAUGAGAAUAAUAAUGGAAAGCAAAUAAUUAAAUAAAAGUAAUCAAUGAUGAGAAAGUUCUAGUUGAAGUAUUGGAUUCACUUUAGUUGUUGGGAUUGAUCACAGACACUUUGUUCUUUUGGGUUGAUUCAAUAGAUUAGUUUAUGGAGAUGGAAGACGCUUCUCACCACCAUUAUCUCUCCUUAUGAUUAAACCAAUUAGGGAACGUCCUCUAAUUAAUUACUAAUUAACAAAUUGCUAAGGAACGUCUUUGGGCCUUAAGCAUCAAAACAAUUGUCAAUUGCAUUAAGAAAUAGAGAGAUCCAAUCCUAGCUACCCAAACGUAUGGAGAUAACGCUAGAUCAUACAAUUUCCUUGGGUUUUAUCCCAAGUGUUCUCAUGUAAAAAUAACCCAAGCAAUUAUGGACUUAAAUUAUUCAAACUAACAAAUAAUUAUUUUGCAAUAAAAAAUCAACGUAGAUCUCAAUAACAAAAUAAUAUGAUAAUUAAAUAUGAAAUUGCAUGAAUAUUGAAUUCCUAAAAAUUAAAUAAUAUUUGAUCAAGUCUCACAACCCAUUAAACAACUAAAAUUUCAACCAGUAUUCAACUAGAUUAAAGAAAUCAGCCACUCAUUGGCUGAAUUAAAAACAGAAAAUUAAAAGGAAAAAAGAAAAGGAAAAGAGAGAACCGAUGGAGCGCAGAGGCUGGCGGAAUUGCCAAAUGGAAGAGAUUUUGAUGUCCCCCCUCAAGUUCACUGAAGGGCUCUUUAAAUAGGUGCAGAGGAGUGCCCCUAAUUAGGAAAAUUUCUGUUCACGUGCGGUGAGUC
rnacentral:lncRNA from 1 species